rnacentral:ncRNA from 1 species
ACGAUAAAGGCAAACCGCGCGUAAGCGUGGGACGCAAAGUCAUGGGUCCACUUUUGAGGGAUCGCCAGACCGCCGA